UACGUAGGGUGCAAGCGUUAUCGGAAUCACUGGGCGUAAAGCGUGCGUAGGCUGCUUGGAAAGUUGGAAGUGAAAGCCCAGGGCUCAACCCUGGAAUUGCUUUCAAAACUACCAGGCUAGGAUUUGGGAGAGGAUAGCGGAAUUGUCAGUGUAGCAGUGAAAUGCGUAGAUAUUGACAGGAACACCAGUGGCGCAAGCGGCUAUCUGGACCAACAUCGACGCUGAGGCACGAAAGCGUGGGGAUCAAACAGG
rnacentral:rRNA from 1 species